rnacentral:rRNA from 1 species
GACGGAGGAUGCAAGCGUUAUCCGGAAUUAUUGGGCGUAAAGCGUCCGUAGGCGGUUUCAAAAGUCUGUUGUUAAAGCCCACAGCUCAACUGUGGAUCGGCAAUGGAAACUGUGAGACUAGAGAGUGGUAGGGGUAGAGGGAAUUCCUAGUGUAGCGGUGAAAUUCGUAGAUAUUGGGAAGAACACCGGUGGCGAAGGCGGCUCACUGGCUCGUAUCUGACGCUCAGGCGCGACAGCGUGGGGAUCAAACAGG